rnacentral:rRNA from 1 species
GUUGAACGCUAGCUACAGGCUUAACACAUGCAAGUCGAGGGGUAACAAGAGAAAAGCUUGCUUUUCUUGUUGACGACCGGCGCACGGGUGAGUAACGCGUAUCCAACCUGCCUAUAACUAGGGAAUAACCUUGCGAAAGUAAGACUAAUACCCUAUGAUUUCCUUUGAUGACAUCAGAUUAGGAAUAAAGAUUUAUCGGUUAUAGAUGGGGAUGCGUCUGAUUAGAUUGUUGGCGGGGUAACGGCCCACCAAGGCAACGAUCAGUAGGGGUUCUGAGAGGAAGGUCCCCCACAUUGGAACUGAGACACGGUCCAAACUCCUACGGGAGGCGGCAGUGAGGAAUAUUGGUCAAUGGGCGGAAGCCUGAACCAGCCAAGUAGCGUGCAGGAUGACGGCCCUAUGGGUUGUAAACUGCUUUUAUACAGGAAUAAAGUUAGCCACGUGUGGUUAUUUGUAGGUACUGUAUGAAUAAGGACCGGCUAAUUCCGUGCCAGCAGCCGCGGUAAUAC